CCAGACUAUUAUUCAGCUGUUUAUGCUAGCAGUUUUUUUUUAUAAUGCUAUUAUAAACAAUCAUUCUGCAACAUGAAGCCAAACCAGAAAGAAAAAUCAACUUUAAAAAAAAGGUAAGAACAAAAAUGACAAAGAUGACAUUAACUAGAUAAAAUGUAUUAUACAUACAUUAUUUUGUUCCAGCUAAGUACAGAGUAUUGUAAAACGG